ensembl:piRNA 21ur-3383 ncRNA
UUCAUUCGAAAUAACAAUUAG